rnacentral:rRNA from 1 species
UACGGGGGGGGCGAGCGUUGUUCGGAAUCAUUGGGCGUAAAGGGUGCGUAGGUGGUGCUGUAAGUCUGACGUGAAAUCUCUGGGCUUAACCCAGAAUCCGCGCCAGGAACUGCAGUGCUGGAGUGCGGUAGGGGCAGAGGGAAUUCCCAGUGUAGCGGUGAAAUGCGUAGAGAGUUGGGAAGAACACCGGUGGCGAAAGCGCUCUGCUAGGCCGCAACUGACACUGAGGGACGAAAGCUAGGGGAGCGAAUGGG